CGCGGGAUUUUACUCGCUACUCGCAUCCUGUGUGAGUACGAUUGAUAAAUAGGGGAGAAUAAUGAUGUUACCUUAUUAAUAGUGUCGUCCAAAGCUGGUGCCAGAAGACUCGGUAAGGCCAGAGACGCAAACGUUAGUCGUCCUAAUCAGGCGUAAAGGGUUUGUAGGCAGCUUUGAAAUUUUUCUUUUUUAUAUAGCACUAACUUAAAAUACAAAUUAUUAUAGUUAAUUAAAGGAGUUAAACAAUUAAAGCUAGAAUCAAAUAGAGGUUAUAUUAAAUAAUACUUAGUGUAGGGCCGAUAUCCUUAGAUACUAAGGGGAAUAUUAAGGGCGAAAGCUUUUUUCCACUAAUGAUUGACGCUGAGAAACGAAGGUGAGGAUAGGAAAUAGGAUUAGAUACCCAAAUUACCCCUCUCUGUCAACGAUCAAUGGUGGCUAAUAGUGAACCAUUGGAGGCGAUGUUAACACGAUAACCAUUCCGCCUUGUGAGUACGACUGCAAAGUGAAAACAAAAAAAUUAGUCGUCUCGAGCAUCAACAAGC
rnacentral:rRNA from 1 species